UGCAAUAAUUCAGGGCUAACACUUGGCACCGGUCCUCAUUGUGACCCAACAUCCAUAACAAUACUUCACCAGGAUGAAGUUGGAGGCCUUGAAGUCUUUGCAAAUAACAAAUGGCAAGCAAUCCGACCUCGUCUCGAUGCCUUUGUCAUUAACAUUGGUGAUACCUUCAUGGCAUUAUCCAAUGGGAAAUACAAGAGUUGCCUACAUAGAGCAG
rnacentral:misc_RNA from 1 species